AUUGAACGCUGGCGGCAUGCCUUACACAUGCAAGUCGAACGGUAACGGGCCUUCGGGUGCCGACGAGUGGCGAACGGGUGAGUAAUACAUCGGAACGUGCCCGAUCGUGGGGGAUAACGAGGCGAAAGCUUUGCUAAUACCGCAUACGAUCUACGGAUGAAAGCAGGGGACCGCAAGGCCUUGCGCGGACGGAGCGGCCGAUGGCAGAUUAGGUAGUUGGUGGGAUAAAAGCUUACCAAGCCGACGAUCUGUAGCUGGUCUGAGAGGAUGAUCAGCCACACUGGGACUGAGACACGGCCCAGACUCCUACGGGAGGCAGCAGUGGGGAAUUUUGGACAAUGGGCGCAAGCCUGAUCCAGCCAUGCCGCGUGCAGGAUGAAGGCCUUCGGGUUGUAAACUGCCUUUGUACGGAACGAAAAGCCUUCUUUUAAUACAGGAGGGUCAUGACGGUACCGUAAGAAUAAGCACCGGCUAACUACGUG
rnacentral:rRNA from 1 species